AACGAACGCUGGCGGCAGGCUUAACACAUGCAAGUCGAGCGCCCCGCAAGGGGAGCGGCAGACGGGUGAGUAACGCGUGGGAAUCUACCCAUCUCUACGGAACAACUCCGGGAAACUGGAGCUAAUACCGUAUACGUCCUUCGGGAGAAAGAUUUAUCGGAGAUGGAUGAGCCCGCGUUGGAUUAGCUAGUUGGUGGGGUAAUGGCCUACCAAGGCGACGAUCCAUAGCUGGUCUGAGAGGAUGAUCAGCCUCACUGGGACUGAGACACGGCCCAGACUCCUACGGGAGGCAGCAGUGGGGAAUAUUGGACAAUGGGCGAAAGCCUGAUCCAGCCAGGCCGCGUGAGUGAUGAAGGCCCUAGGGUUGUAAAGCUCUUUCACCGGUGAAGAUAAUGACGGUAACCGGAGAAGAAGCCCCGGCUAACUUCGUGCCAGCCGCCGCCGUAACAC
rnacentral:rRNA from 1 species